rnacentral:rRNA from 1 species
CUACGGAAGGCAGCAGUGGGGAAUUUUGGACAAUGGGGGCAACCCUGAUCCAGCCAUGCCGCGUGAGUGAAGAAGGCCUUCGGGUUGUAAAGCUCUUUCGGCCGGGAAGAAAUCGCGCAGGCUAAUACCCUGUGUGGAUGACGGUACCGGAAUAAGAAGCACCGGCUAACUACGUGCCAGCAGCCGCGGUAAUACGUAGGGUGCGAGCGUUAAUCGGAAUUACUGGGCGUAAAGCGUGCGCAGGCGGUUUCGUAAGACAGAGGUGAAAUCCCCGGGCUCAACCUGGGAACUGCCUUUGUGACUGCGAGGCUAGAGUACGGCAGAGGGGGGUGGAAUUCCACGUGUAGCAGUGAAAUGCGUAGAGAUGUGGAGGAACACCGAUGGCGAAGGCAGCCCCCUGGGCCGAUACUGACGCUCAUGCACGAAAGCGUGGGUAGCAAACAGGAUUAGAUACCCCGGUAGG